UAUGGCCAUAUCGUGUCAAAACAACAGUUCUUGUACGAUCACCGAAGUUAAGCAACGUCAAGUCUGAUCAGAACUUAGAUUGGUGACCGCUUGGGAAUAUCAGAUGCUGUAA